UACAGAGGGUGCAAGCGUUAAUCGGAGUUACUGGGCGUAAAGGGCACGUAGGCGGUUGUAUAAGUCAGUUGUGAAAUCCCCGGGCUUAACCUGGGAACUGCAGCUGAUACUGUAUGACUGGAGUCGAAGAGAGGGAAGCGGAAUUUCCGGUGUAGCGGUGAAAUGCGUAGAUAUCGGAAGGAACAUCUGUGGCGAAGGCGGCUUCCUGGCUUCAGACUGACGCUGAGGUGCGAAAGCGUGGGUAGCGAACAGG
rnacentral:rRNA from 2 species